AGAGUUUGAUAUGGCUCAGGAUGAACGCUGGCGGCGUGCUUAACACAUGCAAGUCGAACGAUGAUCCCAGCUUGCUGGGGGAUUAGUGGCGAACGGGUGAGUAACACAUGAGUAACCUGCCCUUAACUCUGGGAUAAGCCUGGGAAACUGGGUCUAAUACCGGAUAUGACUCCUCAUCGCAUGGUGGGGGGUGGAAAGCUUUAUUGUGGUUUUGGAUGGACUCGCGGCCUAUCAGCUUGUUGGUGAGGUAAUGGCUCACCAAGGCGACGACGGGUAGCCGGCCUGAGAGGGUGACCGGCCACACUGGGACUGAGACACGGCCCAGACUCCUACGGGAGGCAGCAGUGGGGAAUAUUGCACAAUGGGCGAAAGCCUGAUGCAGCGACGCCGCGUGAGGGAUGACGGCCUUCGGGUUGUAAACCUCUUUCAGUAGGGAAGAAGCGAAAGUGACGGUACCUGCAGAAGAAGCGCCGGCUAACUACGUGCCAGCAGCCGCGGUAAUACGUAGGGCGCAAGCGUUAUCCGGAAUUAUUGGGCGUAAAGAGCUCGUAGGCGGUUUGUCGCGUCUGCCGUGAAAGUCCGGGGCUCAACUCCGGAUCUGCGGUGGGUACGGGCAGACUAGAGUGAUGUAGGGGAGACUGGAAUUCCUGGUGUAGCGGUGAAAUGCGCAGAUAUCAGGAGGAACACCGAUGGCGAAGGCAGGUCUCUGGGCAUUAACUGACGCUGAGGAGCGAAAGCAUGGGGAGCGAACAGGAUUAGAUACCCCGGUAGUCC
rnacentral:rRNA from 1 species